rnacentral:rRNA from 1 species
AUUGAACGCUGGCGGCAUGCCUUACACAUGCAAGUCGAACGGCAGCACGGGAGCAAUCCUGGUGGCGAGUGGCGAACGGGUGAGUAAUAUAUCGGAACGUGCCCAGUCGUGGGGAUAACGUAGCGAAAGCUACGCUAAUACCGCAUACGAUCUAUGGAUGAAAGCGGGGGAUCGCAAGACCUCGCGCGAUUGGAGCGGCCGAUAUCAGAUUAGGUAGUUGGUGAGGUAAAGGCUCGCCAAGCCGACGAUCUGUAGCUGGUCUGAGAGGACGACCAGCCACACUGGGACUGAGACACGGCCCAGACUCCUACGGGAGGCAGCAGUGGGGGAAUUUUUGGGACAAUGGGCGCAAGCCUGAUCCAGCAAUGCCGCGU